GUCCGCGUAGCUCAGUUGGAUAGAGCGGAGCUUUCCUAAAGCUUAGGUCGCGUGUUCGAGUCACGCCGUGGACGC
rnacentral:tRNA from 1 species